GGUUCGAAUCCUGCACGACCCACCAGAGCAGUUGACUUUUAAUCAAUUGGUCGCAGGUUCGAAUCCUGCACGACCCACCA
rnacentral:tRNA from 1 species